AUAGAAAUCUUUUAUGUAACUCAUGGGUCAAUCGUUCCGUCCUGUUUUUUCAACAAACAAGAUGAAACAAGUUCAAAGUUCCAACUCAAUUCGUAAAAAUUAACGAGCUAAACAGAUCAGCCGGCGAAUCAAACCCAUUUUGCCAUCCUAAAUAUCGUGGGCAGUUUAGGCACCUUAAGCAUAAGUGCCUUCAUGACUUUGGAGAUGGAGGGAAUAGAAAACAUUUGGAUUUGGUUACUAUCACUCAAUGAUGAGGUUGGAUAACAUCGUCCUAUGUCGGCAGAGAACUGUGUCUUUGAUGUCCUUAAAAAAAAAAAAAUUGUGUCUUUGAUGUAUAAAUAAAUAAAUGUUAGUGGUCCUUUUACUACGAUUUUUGUCAUCACGUGCUAUCAUAGUUCUUGGCUUUUGGAACAACAAAGGAAACCCUUCGUGGCCUUGUGAUGCAAUCAAGGGACAUUUCAAUUGAAACAAGUUUCACAUUUAUGUACUUCGUCUUGCUCAUAUGAGCAAAAGAAAAUUACUUUCACUACAAUAAUUAAUCUUAUUUAAUUUUUAAAAUAUUAAAAAAGUAAUUAUAUUUGCA
rnacentral:lncRNA from 1 species